rnacentral:rRNA from 1 species
UACGUAGGGUGCAAGCGUUUGUCCGGAAUUAUUGGGCGUAAAGAGCUCGUAGGCGGUCUGUCGCGUCUGCUGUGAAAACUCAGGGCUUAACCCUGAGCUUGCAGUGGGUACGGGCAGACUAGAGUGCGGUAGGGGAGACUGGAAUUCCUGGUGGUAGCGGUGAAAUGCGCAGAUAUCAGGAGGAACACCGGUGGGCGAAGGCGGGGUCUCUGGGCCGUAACUGACGCUGGAGGAG